UGUACACGAUUUCAUGGUAAUUUAUGCAGGAAAACAUAAAGGCCAAUCACGGACAAUUAUAAUAGUGGUGGUCCUUAUUGUUGUUUCAAUCAUGCUUACUUGCUCUGGCUAUUAUUGUUGGCGUAGAAAACACAGCAAGAGUUACAAGGCUAUUCUGGAGAAAAAUUUUGGAAGUGAAGGUGCUACAUUAGAGUUGUUGAAAUUCAAUUUAACUACAAUUGAAGCUGCAGCAACGGACAAGUUUUCUGCUGAAAAUAGAAUAGGAAGGGGAGGAUUUGGAGAAGUCUACAAGGGCAUCCUUCCUGAUGGCAAAGAAAUAGCAGUGAAGAGAUUGUCUGAGAGUUCUCGACAAGGUUUAACUGAAUUCAAGAACGAAGUUCUACUAAUUGCUAGACUUCAGCACAGAAACCUGGUUGCAUUAUUAGGAUUUUGCUUAAAUGACCAAGAGAAAAUACUUGUUUAUGAAUAUGUUCCUAAGAAGAGCCUAGAUUUCUUUUUAUUUGGUUCCAAAAAGGAAAGAUCAUUAAAUUGGUCAGAGCGUUUCAAAAUUAUCAGAGGAGUUGCUCGGGGAAUUCUUUAUCUUUAUGAAUAUUCUCACCUUAAAGGGUUACAUGUCUCCAAAAUAUAUCAAAUUUGGAAUAUUUUCAGAAAAAUCAGAUGUUUAUAGCUUUAGAAUUAUAGUUUUAGAAAUCAUUAGCAGAAAGCAGCAUUUGAAUUCUCAUGAUGGAUCUCAUGAAUCUCAAUACAGCUAUGGACUCCUGAGUCAUGCUUGGAAGCAUUGGAGGGAGGAAAAUUUCAUGGAGAUAUUGGAUUCUAAUUUAGAAGAAGCUGAUUCACAUAACGAAAUCAUCAUAUGUAUCCAUAUUGGGUUAUUAUGUGUUUAAGGAAAUCCGGCAGCUAGGCCAUCCAUGAGUAUAGUUCUUCAAUAUCUAAGUAAUGAUUUAAUGCAGUUACCGAUUCCCUAUGAACCAGCAUUCUUCAUACAAUGUCCAAUGGAUUCAGCAACCAUUAGAGCAAUGGAGACUCAAUUUUCCAACCGUAAUCAAUGUUCCAUUAGUGAAAUGUCUAAAAGCAUAUCUUUACCUCGCUAGAUUUUAAGGGGCUUCUAUCUGAUCUUCCCCUUCCUAGGUAUUGAAAGUUUAAAUUUCUUUUGUAUUCAUUGUAUAUGUCACUUAUGGUUGUGUCUUCUACGAA